rnacentral:lncRNA from 1 species
GCUUUGCACAAACAUCUUCUCUGAGUGAUCCAACACCUCCUGCAGCUCUGGCAAACUCUGGGUCAGCCCGGAGUCCCUCGAAGCUGGAGCUGAGGUCAGAGAAGCCCAGGACAGCCACGAAGCUGUGGGUCCUCGCGCCUAACAACCACGGUUAAGGAUUCUGAUACGUUACCAAACCGCCACCCAGAAAGGAAUUGCAAUGUGGACUUCUACAAGAAAUCAGAAACAGUAAAGAACAGCCUUGCUGCCUGCAGGGGUGACUGAGGCCCUGAAGUCCAGAGCUUUGCUGAGUCGUCACUUGGGAGAGUAAAUCUCCAAUGGUCUGCCCGUGCAGUGAGCAUUGUAACCUGUAUCACUGUAAAUCUUAUUUGCAGGCCUGUUUAUUCUGAGGUUGACCUUUAAACUUAAAUCUCUGCUGUUAUGCUAGUGAGGUUUGCGUUGGCAAGUGGAGAGGCUGAUGGAUCAAUCAAUUGAAAGCUGAGCCCAGCAGGUGAGGGAAAACUCCCGUCUUUGUCAUGGCGCGUGUCCACUCCUCAAGGCCAUGGAGAUUCGGACCGAAGGGUUCCAGAGAUCGCGUGGUGAGGCCGUGUGGAGUUUGCCAUGCAGGGGAGCUCCCAGCACCAAGCAUCUGCCAGCAAAGAGCCCAACUUGAACCUUGGAAAACUGUGUCCUCUCUUCCCAAGUGUUCCACUGAGCCACUGACUUCUCCAGGAGUCAUUCAGAUUCUAAUCGUAACCCUUGAAGCAGCCAUUUCUUUCUGUGCUGUGGAAGCUGAACUUGCUAAAGCAGCUAGGAUUGGUCCCCUGGUGGUCUUGGCCAGUUCUUGGACAACGAGGCUAUAGCCAGGUCCUUAGGCAGAGUCUUGAGCCAGUACAGGUCCAUGCUUCCCAGCGGGGAUGGAUUUCUUUUCGGACAUACCUCGUAGAAACUGGUUUGUCUGGAGCUCCAUCACUUGUGCUAUACUGCCUGGGCAGAGGGAAAGACCACAGGGGAGGCGGUGGCUGUGCCGGGCAGGGAGACCUCACAGCUAUUGUGCUCCAUGGAACAGCCCAGGCCCUGCCAUCCUGCAUGGAUGUUUUGUUUAGUCAAGGCUGGCUGACCCCAAAGCGGGGAAUUAUUAUUGUAACAUGUGUUUGGUGGAAGGGCGAUGUUGGGAGACGGUGGGAGGGGAGAGGCGUCUUAUUGCUGUCUGGGUGGGUUGGAGCUGGUAGGAGCUUCUACCACUCUCCUCCGCUCUAUCUCCUUGUCCCGGGAUCCAUGCUGUUCCUCUAAGAGAAGCAAUGAAAGGUCAACCUCGGGCUGCUGAAAACACGCCCCCUUGAGGUUAUCCGACGGCCUAAGCUGUAUCCUAUGGGAUGGGAAAGGUGUGCUGUUGUCGGUGGGAUCAUCUGAAGGCUGACCCUUCAAGCGCCAGGGUAGCUAGCUGUGCAGCUAGCUCAGAGUUAAAACGAGCUCGGGAGAAGACAUAGGAAGCCAUUGUCUUGCUGGAUUUUCUGGCCCAUUAAGAAGUCUGGACUGUAACCUUGAAGACAGGAUGUGACCCCCACAUAAGUUCCUCACCUUGAUGACCCACAUGAAUCCAUCACAGUGCUCUCCAGCGCUCAUCUCUCACUGGGACUGAGAAUGAAAGAGUUGGUCUUUGAAUGUGUUCUCACCAUAGCCACAUAGGAAGAAUGUCGCAUCUGUUUGCCACCUCUCUGGCAGGUCCCCUGAAUCUGUAGGUCAGAGGGCAGGAAUCCACUUGCCAAUGCAUGUUAAGUACCAGGCUUUGUGCGUCUACACGCGGAGAAUGCCAGGCUGCCCCACAAGGUACCCUGCUGGUUGUAAAAGAUGGAAUUUGCUGUUGAAGUCACAGUUUGCAAUCUUGAUGUUCACGCCAGCCUCUGAGGGUUUGUCUGCCUUGAAGGCUGUCAGGACAGUGCACUUCUGGUGGCACAUUAGACACUACUGUUGGAAUUUGC